UUAAUAUUAUGAAAAAAUGAAUUAAAAAUAAUUUCAGUCAAGCAUGUUAACCGAACCGGACACAUAAAAUUGGACGGAGGGAGUAUAUGUAUAAAGCUGGCGUCAUUUGACAAAAUCGAAUGCUUCGAAAUGAAAUACAAAUACUAGCGCGUGUUGAGGAGCCGAUGCAGAGUUUCUUUGAAAAAUUAAAGCUUAACCCAUUGGCCCAUUUUCCGAAGUCUAUGCUGCUUUGAGGAAAAUAGUUAUGACAUUCUCAGGAUAAAUAUUAAUUUUUUUUUGGUGAGGAUGAUAAAUAUUAAUAUUUCAAGACAGGUAUGAUUUCAUCAUAAUAACUUUUGUAUUUUGUGUCUUCGACUUAUUGUUGUUUGUGCGGAGUGUACUAAUGUGAAAGUGGCUUUGGACAUUUUGCCUUUUUUCUGUACUAAGCAUUAUGUCUUCUUGGAUGCAAAGAACUAUGUCUUGGACCCAAACUUUAAUUCUUUAUAAUUUUUUAAUUUUAAUUUUUAAAACCUAUUGAUCUUGUGAAGAGUAUUGUAAAUUUACUACGUUAUACUAACUGGGUUUCACACCUCAAGGAUUUGUAUUGGAAAAAUGAAGAUAAGAGCGUCACCAGAUCAGAUCAAUAUAUUUCAAGGAUCUCUUCAAUCAAUGUGGACUAUACAUUUAUACAGUGAAGGAUCAGAAGGGAUUUCCUGAUGAAUUAUUUGCCGUAAAGAUGUAUGCAUUGUGAAUUAUUGGCCGUAAAGAUGUAUGCAUUGACAACUGAGAUGCCAAGACUACCCACCGGUAAAUCUAAAUCUAAGCGGCUGUCUAAUAGACUUGCCAUCAUCCAGUGAAGAAUAUGGUCUUGGCUUCUGAAAUUCUGUUUUUUUUCUUUUGGAGGCAAUUUUGAGUGGUUUCAAACUACUCUUUGACCAUCUCUCUAAUAUAAGGGAGUUACUAAUUGGGUAGUCUGUUACUGAAAAUAACAUUUCUUUUAUGUGUUAGAGUCUUGAAGAUUAGAAGCAUGGCUUGUUUUAAAUAUGAGACUGACCCUUAUGGUAGUGAAUUAUUAUUAUUCUAUGAAUAUGAACAUUCAAGUUGUGUGAAUGAUUAUUAUUUGAUGAA